GACGAACCGUGCGAACGUUGUUCGGAAUCACUGGGCUUAAAGGGCGCGUAGGCGGCAACUCAAGUCCGGGGUGAAAGCCCCCGGCUCAACCGGGGAAGUGCCUUGGAGACUGGGUUGCUCGAGGGAGGUAGGGGUCGAGGGAACUUCUGGUGGAGCGGUAAAAUGUGUAGAUAUAUGGAAGAACACCAAUAACGGCGAAGGCAGUUAACUAUUCUGUUACUGACAUUGAGGCACGAAAGCGUGGGGAGCAAAACGG
rnacentral:rRNA from 1 species